UAAAUUUCAAAAGUUAAACCCUAACAGAUGGAGAUUCGGAUCUAAAUUCAGCACCUGGAUUGAGAUAGAUGACUACCGUGUGCGGCACUAGGCGGCAGGGUUGGCGGCAUUGGUGCCGUCGGAGGAGGCUUUGUGUCCCAUCAUCUUCUUGAACUCCUCGAAAUUCACAUUCCCGUCGCCGUCGGCAUCGACGGUCUUGAUCAUCCGAUGGCAGUCCUCGAUCGUGCAGGCCAUGUUGAGGCGGUUGAGCACCAGGUGGAGCUCGUUGGCGGAGAUGAGGCCGUUCCGAUCCUGGUCGUAGAGAUCGAAG
rnacentral:lncRNA from 1 species